rnacentral:lncRNA from 1 species
UCUGAUUUUAGCUUCCUGAUUUGGACUUUGGAUUCUAGUGGACUUUUUGAUUUUGCUUGCUGUGUUGGCAACUCGUGCUAAAGAGGGAUACUUACUCUGGUGAGACUCUUGCCUCCUUGACAUUUGAUACUGCCUUUUGCAGCUCAGUCUCUUCAGCAUCAGUCCUUUGGUUGGUGAACUGCUUGACUGCAGACACUCAUGAACUGUCUUUCCAGAUAAUGCCUUGAUGACAGACUUUAUGGAAGGAGAUUUCCCUUCCAAACAAUAAUCUCUUUUUCCUCCUUGCUGUCUUCUAUACACCAAGAAGAGUCUUCAUGAAGCCAAAAAUUGUCAUUGGUCUGGAAUGUCAUUCCUCAGAAGAAUUUGCAAGUAAAACUAAGUUGCUAAGUUGUUGAUGAGUAUCAGCCCCCACCCCAACCCUCAUCUGCUAUGGACAUAUAGAAUCAGGACUGAGAAUAAACUGUACUUUGGAGAUAUGGCAAAUUCACACCUAUUGCGAAAGAAAACCAAGCUCAAAUGGUUGCCAUGGGAGCACAUAAAGAGUACAAAAAAAUCACCUGCCUUUCUUCAUGGAAGUAGUGGAGUGCCAGGAGAUAGCUUCUUUGAAUUUAAGCACCAUGAUUUGCAGCAAGAAGUGAUGAGCAGCAUCCUGAGUUUUUGAAUUGGACCACUUGACAAGAAAAAAUGUUUAUAGUUCUGAGAUCUAUUUGGUUAUGAAGAGAUGUCGAAUAGCUCUCUGCCAAAAUAAAGAAAGCAGUUUUGUCUCUUCUAA